rnacentral:rRNA from 1 species
GCCGGCAGCCAUAUCACCCUGCUAAGCAGGUGUGAGCCUGGUCAGUACCUGGAUGGGAGACCUCCUGGGAAAAACUAAAGUUGCUGCUGGAA